rnacentral:snRNA from 1 species
UCUUUCUUAGAAGAUUUUGU